rnacentral:rRNA from 1 species
GACAGAGGUGCCGAGCGUUAGGCGGAAUCACUGGGCUUAAAGCGUGUGUAGGCGGGCGGGCAAGUACCUUGUGAAAUCCCACGGCUUAACCGUGGAACGGCUGGGUAUACUGCCUGUCUUGAGCCAACUAGGGGCGAGCGGAACAGACGGUGGAGCGGUGAAAUGCGUAGAUAUCAUUUGGAACGCCAAUGGUGAAAACAACUCGCUGGGGGUGUGCUGACGCUGAGACACGAAAGCCAGGGGAGCGAACGGG